GGUGCCCGGCAUAACUUGAGAUUUAGCCAGCUGAGAGGGCAUUGGGUUGGGGUCGGGUGCGCGCUUCUAGAGAGAAGCAGAACGUGCCGGAGCUUCCCUCUGGAUCUAGAUAAAAACGGGGAUAUAUACGACCAGUCUGGCUCUCGUUUGGAGUUUAGGGUCGGGACUUUGGGAUCGGCGUUAGACGGAGCUGAAGAAAGGUUGGAAGUAGGUACCCUGAAUAACCAAAUCCCUGAAUUUUUUCAGGGAUUCAGGGUAGAUUUGGUUUGUCUCCCUGAAUAUCCCUGAAUUUAACCCGUGAACCCUGAAUACUUUAUUCUUAGAGUUCCUACAUCCCUGAAUAUCAACAUUAUACCAAAAAAAUCAGGUAGAAUUCAGAGUCCUUGGUUUGUCCGUCCCUUUGAAAUCCCUGAAUUAACCCUAAUUUUUUUAGGAUCCUGAACACUUGGUUUGUCCCGGAGUUAAAUAAGGCCUUAGACCUAAGACGGCGUCGAAGACGAUCUGGAAGUAUACAACUACUUCAACCACCUGACGACGUGCGGGAUUUCGACAGACUAGAGGUACAGGAGCUGACUCGUCACGAACCAAUGUAUUAACGACUUAACUAAAACCGACGACCAGCUUGAACCAGUACGUACCGUAUAGUUCCCUUUCUCGACAUUAAACAAACCUUCAACACUGAAAAACACAAACAAUAAGUCUCCAGACAUGAGUACUCUCGAACACUGGCAUAGUUACGUGGCUUCCUCCAAGUUAUGUCGCGACUAAGUAGGGUCGCUUCGAGAUAACGUUACGUCGUGCCCGUCACGUUGGUCGUCGAAUCCGUUGUAGCAAACUCAACGUCGUGGCGGGCCCGAGACUCCCGGAGGUCGCUACGAGGUAACGUUGGCCGUCUCGGGGGGACCAAUCGUACACGACGAACGGUCUCCGUUUGUGUGGGGAACGGCAAGCUGAGGUCUUGGCCGAUGAGAUGGCACGGAGACCCGUGCCGUCUCACGGCACGAAUAAUGCGUGGUGGUCGCACGUGUAACUAUACCCGGUCUUUCGCUUCACGUCGCGACGUGCGUCGCGUAGGUGCCGACCAUGACGCAGCGCUAAACCUGGUCGACGUUCACGAUGAACCGCAUAUU
rnacentral:rRNA from 1 species